UUGGGGUUAACACAAUGUGAGCAUGAAGUACAUAAGUUUUGUAGAAUUUCGUGCCAAUUUAAAUUUAGGAUUAGAAAUUUAAAGCCAAAUAAUGGGAACAUUAUUACCCACGUGGAGAUGUGGAUUCUCAUUUCUAACCUUGAUUUGGCUCAAGCUAUUUGUUCAGGAAGUGGUAUCCGUCUCAAAUCCUGAAUGGGUGCAGGAUCGACAAAACCCUGCAUUUUGCUAUGAUCCAAAUUUAUCGUGCGGUCCGCCAUUUUGGCCAGGGACAUGCACCUCGGGUGGGCGUCAGUCUCCCAUAGAUAUUCAAUCCAAUAGCUACAAAAUAUUUAAGAAAUUUAGCUACUUCACCCUUAAUCCGGCCUACAGUGUCGCGCAACCCAUAUUUUUCGCCAGGAAUACGGGACAUUCUUUUCAAAUCCAAUUCGACGGUGCGACGAGUCCCACUUCUGCCGGGUUACAGUUCACGGAUGGGGGCAGUCCUACCAAGGGGAACACAUUUCUUUUUAGCCAGCUACAUUUCCACUGGGGGUCUGAACAUACGUUGAACGGAGUUAGAUAUCCCCUCGAGAUGCAUAUGGUGCAUCACAACGCUAAAUAUGCGACCCUCAUGGAUGCAAUGAGGGCAGUAAAUGAUCCCCAAGCUGUGGCUGUUUUGGCAGUAUUAUUUCAGGUUGGUUUUGCCAAUCCAGCCAUGACUCCGAUCGUCGACGUUGUCCAGCUUUCUCUCCAUGAAGACCCAGUGUUCACGUCGUACCAAAAAGUUAUAAAUGUUGAAAACCUCCUCCCACUUAAGCUUCAUUAUGUCCGCUAUAUGGGAUCCCUGACGACCCCACCGUGCACGGAGAACGUCGUGUGGACAGUUUUUACUACUCCGGUCUCUAUUUCAUUACCUCAGUUGAUGUCCUUCCAACAAGUGUUGGAUCCUGAUGGUCUCCUUUACAUGAAUUUCCGGCCGACCCAACCCCUCAAUGGGAGGAGCCUUACGUGGUUUAAAGUUCCCGGAAUUAAGAGAAUAUUAACCGUGACGAAGCAAGGAUUAGUACAAAUCGGGGGAGGAGGCAGUAUUUUCAGUCUUUUGAGCAAUGCGCUGAAAUAUUUAGGAAAUCAAUUUUUUUGGAAUUUGUCAUUAUUAGUUGGUCAAUUUGGAAAUGUUUUCAAUUUAUUAUUUCCUUUAUUUAAUCCUUAUUUCUUCGUAAUAUAAGGAACAAUUUUUGUCAGAUUUGCAAGUCAUUAAAUAAUUUUGCGACUAUUUUUAUGUUUAUAAAGAAUAAGAUUCCUGCCUUCUGUAGUACAACUUUUUUAAAUCUUUUUAAAAAUUUUAUAACUAGCAAAUAUUAACCAAUUUAGCAAACAUUUAUGCAAAAUUUACAUUUAGCAACAGAAUUUGUUACUCGGUCCUGAAUAAGUUGAUCGUGUCUAUUCUUAAUUUUCAAUGGCAAAAUCUUACCACGCUUAUAAAGCCCUCCUAAAUAUCGUAACUUAUUUUACGACACGAAGAAUACUAUAUAAGGUUACGACGGAAUCAUGAAUACCCUCAUUGAACUUCAUUGCAAUGAAUAAAUUACGGCUUUGAUGAUAUCAAGAAAAUAUCUUUGUGUUCAAACCUGAUUAGAUAAGCAAACGUUUAAUCCGCUUUUCGUGAUCAAAUUAAAUAUGACUCACAACGUAUCCUGCUCAGUCAGAACCGGGUUAUACGUACAGUAGUAUUAUUGUAGUAUUAAAGUACGUUCGAUUCUAAACGGCGUAAUAAAACAUACGUAUCUAAGCUAACACCGUGGAAAAGCAUAUUAUUUGAAAUCGAAAUGGCCCCAAAGACAAACAAAGGGAACAAGAAGAAAGUUGCCAAACCCGUAAUCAAGUGCGUGUCCCAAGCAGAAUUGAAAUUGAAGGCAAAAUCUAAAAAGACGACUAGGGUCGGCGCCACGGUCAAUAUUAAACGCCGGGCCAGUGACUAUCGAAGACAAGGCGAUCUUACCAAAUCGCAUGUAAUGUAUCAUGCUAAAUCUUCAAAUAUCAAAAAAGCCGAAAACCUACUGCUUUCUGGCUGUAAGAAAAGGAAAGUUUGCAAGAAAAAUAAACAAGCGAAGAGCAACGUAAGUCAAAAAUCUGGUGAUACUUACGUAAUCCAA